UACGUAGGGGGCAAGCGUUAUCCGGAUUUACUGGGUGUAAAGGGAGCGUAGGUGGCAUGGUAAGUCAGAUGUGAAAGCCCAGGGCUCAACCCUGGGACUGCAUUUGAAACUAUCAAGCUAGAGUGCAGGAGAGGUAAGUGGAAUUCCUAGUGUAGCGGUGAAAUGCGUAGAUAUUAGGAGGAACACCAGUGGCGAAGGCGGCUUACUGGACUGUAACUGACUCUGAGGCUCGAAAGCGUGGGGAGCAAACAGG
rnacentral:rRNA from 1 species